UGUUCGUGUGGUUCUCAGUGCAGUGAACUUCAGGACCAGCUGGCUCAGGGGACUCUUCGCUGGGCUCUGCUCUUGGUAUUGCAGGGCGUUAUGGAGAAUCCUGUGGAACAAGCUGCCCUCGCAUUACUCCGCACUUAUGUUGCUGCUGUUUGUGUGAAUUCUUUCACCUGACACUCACGCAUCAAAUCAACACCUUGGUUUAUCCGGAUGAGUCAACCGAGUCUCAACGACGACCUGCCCAGCGGCUCACUACACUCCCACAGCAAACACAUUAAAUAAGGAUUUAAAAAAAAAAAAAAAAAACACACAAACUCCGCAGGCAGGUGUGUAGAGAACGAGUCAACCCAGCGGCUAAACGCAACCUCACACACGAACCGCUUCGAAUUUUAACUUUUGGUUGAAACUCACUCCUGUCGUUGGCUGCUGCAGAACACGAAGUAGUGACUACCAAAAACUUGUUUUUGUUUGCCCCAAGGAACAACCAGUUUAAUAAAAUUACUGGAUCUUCAGCAGUACAAUGAAGAAUGAUCCAGAAAACUACACAAGCAGGCAACAGUUUUAAAAAACAAAAUAAAAAAUAAAAAAACAGGAGUUUUGUCCUUUUUACAGAUAUGAAAAAAAAUCCUCAAAACAUAUUUCGUAGUACCUAUAAUCUGCACAACACUGCCCUCUUGUGGAUGCACGUAAUAUAACAACAAAUGCAGGUAAAGUCUUUGUAACGCCAGACAACUUUCUUGGGUCCGAUGUAAUCCAGACUGGGGCCCCUUUACCGAGUUCCAAUCUCAAAACCAAAAAACUAGAUUUUCACUUUUUUUUCUUCUUCCAACAAAUCUCAGCAAAUAAAAAACAGAUCUUAGAAAUUCACACGGUCUAAAAAAAUAACCCUAACCACCAGUGUGAAGAGCUCCAGAAGAACUGAGUGUGUAAAAACAACACAUCUGAAAGCAGAAAUAUUUUGCGUUUUUUUCUUUUUUAUUAUUUCAAACAUUUUGAACAAAUUGACUACCACCCCCACCCCCCCACCGAAGGGGGGGAAAAAAAAAAAAAAAAAAAACACCCCCAACCCCACAGUACUGGGUUUAUACUGCAUUAGUUUUAACAGUGCCGGGGUUUUAGAACAAAAACGAUUACAAAGAAAAGCAAACCUAGAACUCUGAGUUUAUAAUUCCACCUUUAAUAACGAAAAUAAAACAUUAAACAAAACUGCACUGGAGUGUGCACACAGGCAUCUAGAACAGUUGUACUCGAGAUCCAGUCUAAUCCAGUCCAGGUUUUUACUCCAAGCAGUUUCUAAUGUAGUUAACUGAAGCUGCUAAAAGGCAACGAACUCAUUUAGAACCUGGGGACCAGGACUGGAUCUCAAGGGACAGAGCUGAUAGCAUGGAUCUAUUAGAGCUCUGGUAAUACUUCACACCUGGAACCAAACACACAUGGGCAUCACAUACACCUCAGAAAGCCCAACAUCACAGUUUAAAAGCCUGGCAUAUUAGUGAACUCAUACCCAUUCGUUUAGGGCAAUGUGGGUCUUCUAACAAUGGCAUCAGAUACCAAAAUAAAAGCUUGCUUUUCAUCAAAACUGUUCAAAUUGUUUUUAUUUAGGUCAACAAUAAAUUGGUCUCUUUUAAAAAGAAAUUACAGUUUUAGCUUUACGUUGCUAUUAAAAUACACAAAACAAAAAGGCUACUGAACACUUAUUUGAAACAAUAUAAAUGAGUCUGGACAGUAAUUUUGACGGCUCUCUCUU